UUGUCUCAAAGAUUAAGCCAUGCAUGUCUCAGUACAAGCCAAAUUAAGGUGAAACCGCGAAAGGCUCAUUAAAUCAGUUAUGGUUCCUUAGAUCGUACCCACAUUUACUUGGAUAACUGUGGUAAUUCUAGAGCUAAUACAUGCAAACAGAGCUCCGACCGGAGACGGAAGGAGUGCUUUUAUUAGAUCAAAACCAAUCGGCGGCGGGUCUGUUUUAUACAGUCACGUUUGUCGGAUUAUUUGGUGACUCUGAAUAACUUUAUGCUGAUCGCAUGGUCUUGCACCGGCGACGCAUCUUUCAAAUGUCUGCCUUAUCAACUGUCGAUGGUAGGUUCUGCGCCUACCAUGGUUGUAACGGGUAACGGGGAAUCAGGGUUCGAUUCCGGAGAGGGAGCCUGAGAAACGGCUACCACAUCCAAGGAAGGCAGCAGGCGCGCAAAUUACCCACUCCCGGCACGGGGAGGUAGUGACGAAAAAUAACGAUACGGGACUCAUCCGAGGCCCCGUAAUCGGAAUGAGUACACUUUAAAUCCUUUAACGAGGACCAAUUGGAGGGCAAGUCUGGUGCCAGCAGCCGCGGUAAUUCCAGCUCCAAUAGCGUAUAUUAAAGUUGCUGCGGUUAAAAAGCUCGUAGUUGAAUUUGUGUCCCGUGCUGUCGGUUCACCGCCCGCGGUGUUUAACUGGCACGAUCACGGGACGUCCUGCCGGUGGGUGUUACGUACAUUAAUUUUCAUUCUUCGGAGUGUUUAUAUUGUCGUCACCCUACAAAUUAAUCCUGUCACGGUGCUCUUAAUUGAGUGUCGAGAUGGGCCGGCACGUUUACUUUGAACAAAUUAGAGUGCUCAAAGCAGGCUAAAAUUACGCCUGAAUACUGUGUGCAUGGAAUAAUGGAAUAGGACCUCGGUUCUAUUUUGUUGGUUUUCGGAACCCCGAGGUAAUGAUUAAUAGGGACAGAUGGGGGCAUUCGUAUUGCGACGUUAGAGGUGAAAUUCUUGGAUCGUCGCAAGACGGACUUAAGCGAAAGCAUUUGCCAAAGAUGUUUUCAUUAAUCAAGAACGAAAGUCAGAGGUUCGAAGGCGAUCAGAUACCGCCCUAGUUCUGACCAUAAACGAUGCCAGCUAGCGAUCCGCCGACGUUCCUCCGAUGACUCGGCGGGCAGCUUCCGGGAAACCAAAGCUUUUGGGUUCCGGGGGAAGUAUGGUUGCAAAGCUGAAACUUAAAGGAAUUGACGGAAGGGCACCACCAGGAGUGGAGCCUGCGGCUUAAUUUGACUCAACACGGGAAACCUCACCAGGCCCAGACACUGGAAGGAUUGACAGAUUGAGAGCUCUUUCUUGAUUCAGUGGGUGGUGGUGCAUGGCCGUUCUUAGUUGGUGGAGCGAUUUGUCUGGUUAAUUCCGAUAACGAACGAGACUCUAGCCUGUUAACUAGGCGUUACUUACCGGUAUCUCGAAGGCUCGCGUCUCUCGUAUUCGACUUGUAUUCGUCAUGUGUUACAUUUUCGUUUCGAUGAAUGUGUGUCAUAUGUAUAGUGCAUGCUUGAUCGGGAGUUCGCGGUUUUUACUACCGGCGUACAAUUGAAUCUUCUUAGAGGGACAGGCGGCUUCUAGCCGCACGAGAUUGAGCAAUAACAGGUCUGUGAUGCCCUUAGAUGUUCUGGGCCGCACGCGCGCUACAAUGAAGGAAUCAGCGUGUCCUCCCUGGCCGAAUGGUCCGGGUAACCCGCUGAACCCUCCUUCGUGCUAGGGAUUGGGGAUUGCAAUUAUUCCCCAUGAACGAGGAAUUCCCAGUAAGCGCGAGUCAUAAGCUCGCGUUGAUUACGUCCCCUGCCCUUUGUACACCACCGCCCGUCGCUACUACCGAUUGAAUGAUUUAGUGAGGUCUUCGGACCGGUACGCGGUAGCGUUUCGACGUCGCCGAUGUCGCUGGGAAGAUGACCAAACUUGAUCAUUU
rnacentral:rRNA from 1 species